CGGGUGAGUAACGCGUGGGUAACCUGCCUCAUACAGGGGGAUAACAGUUAGAAAUGACUGCUAAUACCGCAUAAGCGCACAGGGUCGCAUGACCUGGUGUGAAAAACUCCGGUGGUAUGAGAUGGACCCGCGUCUGAUUAGCUAGUUGGUGAGGUAACGGCCCACCAAGGCGACGAUCAGUAGCCGACCUGAGAGGGUGAUCGGCCACAUUGGGACUGAGACACGGCCCAA
rnacentral:rRNA from 1 species